AUUGAACGCUGGCGGCAUGCCUUACACAUGCAAGUCGAACGGCAGCACGGGAGCAAUCCUGGCGGCGAGUGGCGAACGGGUGAGUAAUAUAUCGGAACGUGCCCAGUCGUGGGGGAUAACGCAGCGAAAGCUGUGCUAAUACCGCAUACGAUCUACGGAUGAAAGCGGGGGAUAGCAAGACCACGCGCGAUUGGAGCGGCAGAUAUCAGAUUAGCUAGUUGGUGGGGUAAAGGCCCACCCAGGCGACGAUCUGUAGCUGGUCGGAGAGGACGACCAGCCACACUGGAACUUAGACACGGCCCAGACUCCUACGGGAGGCAGCAGUGGGGAAUUUUGGACAAUGGGCGCAAGCCUGAUCCAGCAAUGCCGCGUGCAGGAUGAAGGCCUUCGGGUUGUAAACUGCUUUUGUACGGAACGAAACGGCUCCUUCUAAUACAAGGGGCUAAUGACGGUACCGUAAGAAUAAGCACCGGCUAACUACGUGCCAGCCGCCGCGGUAAGAC
rnacentral:rRNA from 1 species